UCUCUAGCUCAGUUGGUAGAGCAUGAUACUCUUAAUCUCAGGGUUAUGAGUUCGAGCCCCACGUUGAGCAAAA